rnacentral:rRNA from 1 species
GAGAGCAGAGAAAUGGCUACCACAUCCAAGGAAGGCAGCAGGCGCGCAAAUUACCCACUCCUAGUACGGGGAGGUAGUGACGAUAAAUAACGAUACGGGACCUUUUUCGAGGCCGCGUAAUCGGAAUGAGGGCAAUCUAGUUCCUUCACCUAGGAUCUAUUGGAGGGCAAGUCUGGUGCCAGCAGCCGCGGUAAUUCCAGCUCCAACAGCGUAUACUAAAGCUGCUGCGGUUAAAACGCUCGUAGUUGGGCUUUAUGAUCGCGUGUUGGAGAUGGAAUGAAAUAGGAUGGAGACCUUGGCCCGGCGCUCGGUUAUGCUGUCGAUCGUCCAACGAUGGUUUUUGUCGAUCUAGUCGUUGGGAACUUGGCUUAUUUACUUUGAAGAAAUUAGGGUGCUCAAAGCAGGCUCGUUGGCCCGAAUAUUAUGCACAGGACAAUGCAAAACGAUUCGUGAUUGCUAGUGUGUACGUUCAGUUCGGCUGAUCACAAGUCAUGACAAAUAUGGAUAACAGGGGCUAUUCAUACUUUCUUGUGAGAGGUGAAAUUCAUAGACCGUUCUAUGAUGCACGGUAGCGAAGGCGCCUAGCAUAUGCACGCCAACUAGUCAAGAGCGAAAGUCGAAGGUUCGAAGACGAUCAGAUACCGUCCUAGUUUCGACCGUAAACUCUGCCAACUGGCGAUCCGACGGUGUUCUUUCCGUGACUCGUCGGGGAGCCGGCCGGGAAACCAAAGUUUUUAGGUUCCGGGGGGAGUAUGGUUGCAAAACUGGAACUUAAAGGAAUUGACGGAAGGGCACACAAGGAGUGGAGCAUGCGGCUCAAUUUGACUCAACACGGGAAAGCUUACCCGGUCCUGACACCGGCAGGAUUGACAGAGUAAGGGUACUUUCUUGAUUCGGUGGGUGGUGGUGCAUGGCCGUUCUUAGUUGGUGGAGUGAUUUGUCUGGUUGAUUCCGAUAACGAACGAGACUCUAGCCUACUAACUAGUCCGCGCGUCUUCUGUCGCGCGCCGAGACUUCUUAGAGGGACAAGGGGCGUUUAGUCCAAGCGAAAUUGAGCAAUAACAGGUCUGUGAUGCCCUUUGAUGUUCGGGGCCGCACGCGCGCUACAAUGAAGGAAUUAGCGCGCGCCUUAGCCUCCUCCGAGAGGAGCGGGCAAUCAUAUGAAACUCCUUCGUGGCUAGGGAUCGGGGCUUGGAAUUGUUCCCCUUGAACGAGGAAUUCCUAGUACGCGCGAGUCAAUAGCUCGCGCUGACUACGUCCCUGCCCUUUGUACACACCGCCCGUCGCUACUACCGAUGGAUGGCUAAGCGAGCUCCUCGGACUGGCACCCGUGCUCGCACGCGGCUCGCUAGAUAGUGGCAACGGGCGUCGCGGCGUCUUCGUCGGGAAGACUAGCGAACUUGGUCAUUAGA